GCGAAGUGUGUGAAGUUCAUGCAAAGUAGUAUGUAGUAAGCUGGGGUUGUCCACUUGACUGUCCACUCGACAGUCUUACCACAGAAUACCGUCCUGCGUACUUUUGUGAGAAGUUAGACAUUUCUUCCCGAAAUGUAUCGUACAGUUAUUCACGUGUGUAUCAUAGCUGUGUGCACACAGUGUUUUGUGUUAGCAUUCAUUAGCAAAGUGAAUGGACUCUUAGCCAGUUAUAGCUAACGUUAACUCAGCUGUAUACUAUUGGACUAGUUCACGGGUUUCGACGUGAAAACCGUGAAGAGUUAUCUGAAAGCUACAACUGCGAAAUCAAAGCUCUGAGUUCUUUAGAAAGAGGGACAGCGACCACGUCAGUUUGGACGCAUGCUCGCACCCCUGUUCACCCCAGCGGCAGAGCGCGGGACAGACCACGCCAUCUUUGGACACCUGCUUGCCCUUGUUUUGCUGGAGACCGGGAAAGACUGUUGAACUCUGCACAGUGGACUGAACUGUUGCUUAAGACAGAAAGUCAUCUGGCACAGUAAAGUCAUCUGUAAAGGAGACUGAUGGCUAACAAUUGAUGUGCCAAUCCCGUCUAGACAGCCGGUACUUCAUCCAAUUAUGUUGGGAAUACAAACAUGAUCGCAACAACAAUGGCAGGAUUACCAACACCAUAAAGAGGAGAGGAAGAAGUGGAGGAAGACAAGUGAUGAGGAUGAAAUUGACAAAGGAAGGAUAGACGAAGACAAGCCUGGUCUCUGGAAGACAUGAUGGUAUCAAUAGUGAGAGAUGUUGAUUUUAUUUAGAGGGAGGAACAAAAUACCAAUAAAUGUGUCCUCUUGCCAUGGUGCCAUUGAGAGGCCAUAAGUGAUACAAAGGCUUGUGAUUGAAUUCAUGUGUGUAGCAUAGAACAUGUCAAUAUUGAGACGUUAACUCACAUACGGAUCCUUGCACACACAAACACACACACACAUUCAAUUUGUUGGUGUUGCACAGCACAAGGAGGACUAGCAGAAGCAUGAGAUGUCAGUGGAAUUUUGUUUAACAAUCUUCUGACUUCUACCAGAGGUUUACCUAAUAAUUUUCAUAAUCUUCACAGUGUUAUAUGAAAAGGGAUAAGAACAGAACACACCUGCCUGCUAAAUUUUAGCAUCCUUAAGGUUGUUUAUGCUGUUUUGAUCAAAAAGAAUACUCAUACAAUACUAUUUUGCAAAUUAAAGGCAAUUGCAAUGUAUCAGCAUCAGCUUCCCAGUCAAUGCUUCUUCAGGAAGGCAGCCAUUUUGAAUUGAAUAUGAAAAUUAUCACCAUUUACAGCAAAAUUAAACACUUUUCUGCUUGGGCCCUAAAAACUAAAAUAUUUAAAUAGAAAAUUUAAUAUGACGUAAAGGACCUAAAAAUCUUAUGGAAAGCCAAGGUCCAAUCAUAUUAAAUGAUCCAGGCUUUUAACUUUUUAACUUGAAAUCCAACUUUUAAGGAAACAUUGAUAACAAUCAGACAGUGGGAUGAAGGCACAAUCCCCAAAACCAUACCAGUGUACACAGUUUACCAUAGACAAUAUUUGUAUUUAGUUUAAUUCUGAAUUUCUGCACCAUUUAUGUUUUCAUUCAUGCUCUUAGGAAAAGUGCUGGACAUAGUUCUGAAUCAGGUUAUGUUUCAAAGAUAUCACUUAAUAAUACAUGCCCUUUAGGAUUUGUGGUAGAAAUAAUAAAAUAUUGAUUUUUCAUUUGACAUUCUGCGAUGCAAUUAAAGAAGACCCUGGACUAAAAAGUUAGAACCCAGCCUGUGACGUCUAAUGGCUGUGUGGAGAUUUUAUUUGGUGUGGGGGAACAAAAAAUGCUGACGUAAUGUCUGAUGGCCAGCUCCACAAAUAGGCAUCCCGCCAGACAGUUAAAGAUGAUAUGUGGAUAGAUCAGCCUCUUUAAAAAGGCUUGCACUGACUCAAACCAGUCUGAAAUUCUAUUGCUCAGAUGAGUGAAUGUCAGGAGGAGCAGAUUGGUGUGCUUGCACUUUUGUAUGUUUGUGUGUGUUUAUGUUUUUAAUUUCUCUAUCCACUACCUUGUUUACUUACCCCCCUUCUGAUGCAGUGUUUUUUGGGAGACAUCUGUCCUCCGUUUUCUCCCUUCAUUUGAUAUAGCACAAAAUGUAAACCACCUUUUCUGGUAUGUCCCUCAAGGUUGUGUCACCAGGUGCUGGCCACUUCUUUUCUUAAUUCUGCCAGUAUUUCAGUAGUCUUUUUGUGUUGGUUUGUGAUCUGCAGCACAGUAUUGGCUUGUUUUUUAUUUUUUUAUUUCCCUUAGUUAGUUGAAGCAACCGCCUCCACAUUUCAGUUUUGCUGAUGUUUUUGGCCAGUCCUCAGAUGCAUUUGUUGAUAAAGGUCAUUCUGUUCUUAA